rnacentral:lncRNA from 1 species
UCGGGGAUUUUAUUCCAUUUGGACUCCGUUCCAAAAUCAGAUCUGAAAAGAGUCAAAAACACAGAAAAAACAAGAACUGACACUUGGCACUGAAUUAAUAAGUUAGUCCCAAAAAAGAUAUAAAAGGUAUAUAAAACAUCCAAAGUAGACAAGAUAAGAGCAUGAAACCAUCAAAAAUGAUAGAUACGUUUGAGACGUAUCAAGCAUCCCCAAGCUUAACUCCUGCUCGUCCUCGAGUAGGGAAGUGAUAAAUAAUGAAUUUUUUAUGCUUUCAUGCCACCUAGCAUAGAUGUCCUUUGUAACUCCUCUUAUGUGACAUGAACUUUCAAAUCCGUUAGAUUCAAAACAAUAGUUUGCUAUUGACGUGGAGACAAUAAUACUUCAAGCAAACUAGCAAGGUAAUCAUGAACUUUCAAAAUAACAAGGCCAAAAGAAAGUUAGACCUACAAAAUCAUAUAGUCUGGCUAUGCUCUAUCAUCCUUGCACAACGAAUUUAAAUCAUGCACAACCUCGGUAUUGGCCAAGUAAUUGUUUUCACACCUUUACUCUCUCAAACCUUUUCAACUCUCACGCAAUACAUGAGCGUGAGCCAUGGUUUUAGCACUAUAAGUGGAAUGGAGUGUGGUGGAGGUUGCAAGGCAAACAAGGAGAAGAUGGUCACAUUGACUAGGCAAAUCAAUGAGCUAUGGAGAUGUUCAUCAAUAGAUAUCAAUGUGAAUGAGUAGGGAUUGCCAUACAAAUGAUGCACUAGAGCUAAGAGUAUGUGAAAACUCUUAAAGAAAACUAGUGGGUGUGCAUCCAACUUGCUUGCUCACGAAGACCUAAGGCGAUUUUGAGGAAGCCCGUCAUUGGAAUAUACAAGCCAAGUUAUAUAAUGAAAAUUUCCCACUAGCUAUAUGGUGGUGACAAAACGAGAGACUCUCAACCAUGAAGACCAUGGUGCUUAAUAUGAAGCACAAGUGUGGAAAGGAGAUAGUAUCAUUGUCCCUUCUCUCUUUUUCUCUCAUUUUUUUGGUGGGCUCUUUGGCCUCUUUUUUUUGGGCAUCUUUGGCCUCUUUUUGUAAAUGGGCUUCGCUGGCCUCUUUUAUUUCCUCACAUGGGACAAUGCUCCAUCAUUGAUGACCAUCACACUUACAACUCAAAACUUAGAGCAAUGAUGACUCUAUAUGAAACGCCUUCGCUAGUGUACCGUGACAAUGAUCUAGCAUGGCAUAGACAUCAAUGGAAACAUCAUGCUAGUUAUCUUAUGAUCAUGCAAUGGCAAUGUAGAAGUGGUGGCACAUGUCAUGGUGGUAGUUGCAUGGCAAUAUAUCUCAGAGUGGCUUUGAAAAAGCCAUAGUAGGUAGGUAUGGUGGCUGUUUUGAGGGAGGCUAAUGGUGGUUUUAUGCACCGGCGAAAGUUGCACGACACUAAAGAAGAUAGUGAUGGUGGAAGGUGAAAGUGCAUCUAAACCAUGGACUCAACAUUAGUCAUGAAGAACUCAUAUACUUGUUGCAAAAGUUUUACUAGUAAUCGAAACAAAGCAUUCAACGCAUACUCCUAGGGGAAGGGUUGGUAGGUAUAAACCAUCACGCGAUCCCGACCGCUACACAAAGGAUGACAAUCAAUAAACUAAUCAUGCUCAGACUUCAUCACAUAGUGGUUCACCAUGCGUGCAUGCUACGGGAAUCACUAACUUAAACACAAGUAUUUCUAGAUCCACAACACCUUACUGUUAUAACUUCAAUAUUAUCACAACCACAACUCAAAACUAAUUGAGAUGAAUCAAACUUCUCUAACUACUCAAUGCACAUGAAGGUGGAAGUUUUCAUAUCCCUUUGGAUAACUACCCCUUUUGAGACUACUUUCAUAGCAUAGAUCAACUACCACGCCACGCACUUCCGUGCUCUAAAAGAUAGAAGUGAAACACAUAGAGCAAAAUCAACUAGCUAGAAAGAUAUAAGUGAAACACAUGUGAGCUGAAUUGUCUAACCAAAGGAUAUAAGUGAAGCUCGACAAAAUCACGGUGAGUGCAUGUCUAUCUCUCUAGGUGUGCAGCAAGGAAGAUUGUGACACAACAAAAAUAAAAGACUCCUACGAUACAAGACGCUCCAAGCAAAACACAUAACAUGUGGUGCAUAAAAAUAUAGCCCCAAGUAACGUUACCGAUGGAUUGAAGACGAAAGAGGGGAUGCCUUCCCGGGGCAUCCCCAAGCUUAGGUUUCGGCAUCCUUGAAUCAACUUGGGGUGCCUUGGGCAUCCCCAAGCUUGAGCUCUUCCCACUCUUUAUCUCUUUGUCCAUAAGAACUUCACCCAAAACUUGAAAACUUCACAACACGAAACUUAAACAGAAACUCGUGAUAACAUUAGUAUAAGAAAGCAAACCACCACUUCCUUCGGUACUAUAGCAAACUUAAAUUCUACUCAUGUUGAUGUUGGAUUACUGUAUUUUCAAUCUUCCAUGGCUAAUACCCCCCGAUACUAUCCAUAGUUUCAUCAAAAUAAGCAACCAACUCAACAAAAACAGAAUCUGUUAACAGUAGACCAGUCUGUAGCAAUCUGUAUACUUCGUAUACUUCUGGUACAUCAAAAGUUCUGAAAAAUUACUAUAGUCUGAAGAAUUUGCGUAGAAAUCAGCAGAAAAAAGAAUCAACUCAAAAUCUCUCACAGAAAAAAAAAAUCUUUUCGUGAGCAGAAAGUUUCUGUCUUUUCCAGCAUGACCAAACGAUCAUCCCCAAGACUAAUCAUAACGGUUUUACUUGGCACAAACGCAAAAGAAACACAAAAAACACAAUCAUAACAGAAUUAUGAAAGUGUAGAAAACACAAAAUAGAAAGAAAAAGGAUAGAUUCGUUGUGUUGCCUCCCAACAAGCGUUAUUGUUUAACGCCCUUAGCUAGGCAUUGAUAAUUCAAUGAUGCUCACACAAAAGAUAAGAAUUGAAGCACAACGAGAGCAUCAUAAAGCAUGUGAAAAUCACAUCUAAGUCUAACAUACUUCCUAUGCAUAGACAUUUUAUAGGGAAACAAAUUGGCAAGACAACCAAUAGUUACCAAAUGCAAGGAAGAAGAAAGAGACAAUAGCAAUCUCAACAUAACGAGAGGUAAUUUGGUAACAUGAAAGUUUCUACCAUAAUAUUUUCCUCUCUCAUAGCAAUUACAUGUGGGAUCAUAUUCAAAUUCAACAAUAUAGCUAUCCCAUAGGAUAUUAUUUUCAUGAUCCACAUGCAUGCAAAAUUGACGCUCUUCAAAAAUGGUGGGAUUAUCAUCAACUAAAGUCAUGACUUCUCCAAACCCACUUUCAAUAUUAUUGCAAAUAUCAUUGCAACAAGUAGUGGACAUAGCAAAACUAGCAUCCCCAAGCUUAGGGUUUUGCAUAUUUUUAGCAUGAUUGCCAUUAAUAGAAUUUCUAAUGAAAUCAUUACAAUCAUGCUUUUCAUUCAAGGAGCCCUCGUGAAUCACUUCAUAAAUUUCCUCAUCACGAUUUUCAGAUUCACGCAUCUCAAGCAAAACUCCAUAAAGAUAGUCAAGUCCACUCAACUCACUAGCAAUUGGAUCAACAUAAUUGGAUCUCUUAAAGAUAUUAGCAAGUGGAUGAGGAUCCAUAUCACUAGAUUUUCAGCAAGCGAAGAUGCAAGCAUAUUGAAGGCACAUAGCACACAAGCAAAGAAAAGGCAAGCGAAAGAAAAGGGCAAACGAAAAAAGCAAACGAAAAAGGUAAACGAAAAAGGAAAAUUGGUGAAGUGGGGGAGAGUAAAACGAGAGGCAACUAGCAAACAAAGUAAAUGCAAGAGAUGAGUUUGCCACACUUACUUGGAUAGAUCUUGACUUGAUCUCUCGCCGGCAACGGCACCAGAAAUCGGCGUGUUGACGGGAGAUUAUUCUUGUCUUGAUACUCCUCGGCAAACGAUCCUCCCCGGCAACGGCGCCAGAAAUCCUUCUACUGCUGGCUACGCCUAUAGGGAUUUCCUUGGCAAAUAUGCAAAGGAUUCCCCCGCGGCCUUGGAGCCUUGCGUUGGUGUUCCCUUGAAGAGGAAAGAUGAUGUAGCACAGUGGCGGUAAGUAUUUCCCUCAGUCUGAGAACCAAGGUAUCAAUCCAGUAGGAGGAUUGCAUCAAGUCACAAGUACCUGCACAAACACAAAGAGCUUGCACCCAACGCUAUGAAGGGGUUAUCAAUCCCUUAUAGAUUGUUUGCAAAGUGAGAACUGAAAGCAAAAAGUAAACAAAGCAAAGUAAAAGUAAAAGCUGAGAUGAUAAUUGUGAGUAGACCCGGGGGCCGUAGUGUUCACUAGUGGCUUCUCUCAUGAAAGCAAGUAGACGGUGGGUGAACGAAUUACUCUCGAGCAAUUGAUAGAACCGUGCAAAGUCAUGACGCUAUCUAUGGCAAUGAUCAUACAUAUAGGCAUCACGUCCGAAACAAGUAGACCGAUACUUUGUGCAUCUACUACUAUUACUCCAGACGUCGACCGCUAUCUUGCAUGCAUCUAGUGUAUUGAGUUCAUAAGAACAGAGUAACGCCUUAAGCAAGAUGACAUGAUGUAGAUGGACAAUCUCAAAUCUAUGAUGAAACCCCAUCUUGUUACCCUUGAUGGCAACAACACGAUGCGUGCCUUGCUGCCCCUUCUGUCACUGGGAAAGGUCACCGCACGGUAUGAACCCAAAACCAAGCACUUCUCCCAUUGCAAGAAUCAUAGAUCUAGUUGGCCAAACAAAACCCAAGACUCGGAGAGACUUACAAGGAUAUCAAAUCAUGCAUAUAAGAAAUCAGCAAAGACUCAAAUAUAAUUCAUAGAUAAUCUGAUCACAAAUCCACAAUUCAUCGGAUCUCGACAAACACAUCGUCAAAGAGGAUUACAUCGGAUAGAUCUACAUGAAGAUCAUGGAGAACUUUGUAUUGAAGAUCCAAGAGAGAGAACAAGGCAUCUAGCUACUAACAACGGACCCGUAGGUCUGAAGUGGACUACUCACGAGUCAUCGGAGAGGCAAUGAUGUUGAUGUAGAAGCCCUCCAGCUCCAAAGCCCCCUCCGGCAGGACACCGGGAAGGGUCUCCAGAUGAGAUCUCGCGGAAACGGAAGGUUAUGGCGGCGGAAAAGUGGUUUCAUGGACGCCCUUAUUUUUUCUGGGAUUUUAGGGAAUAUAUAGGCCAAAGAGCUAGGGCAGGGGAGCUCCAGGGAGGCCACAAGCCUGGUAGCCGCGGCCCCCUUGGCCGCGGCUACAGGGCUUGUGGGCUCCCUGUGGGCCUCCUGCCUUGGCCCUCAAGUCCCCCGAUCUUCUUCUGUUCUGGAAAAAAUCAUUUCGGGGAUUUUAUUCCAUUUGGACUCCGUUCCAAAAUCAGAUCUGAAAAGAGUCAAAAACACAGAAAAAACAGGAACUGGCACUUGGCUCUGAAUAAAUAAGUUAGUCCCAAAAAAGAUAUAAAAGGUAUAUAAAACAUCCAAAGUUGACAAGAUAACAUCAUGAAACCAUCAAAAAUUAUAGAUACGUUUGAGACGUAUCA